UUGGACAGAGAAUUCAUGUGUCUUUGUACAUGAAGUACUUUUGGCAGCAGUACUCACCCAGAAGCCAGCCUCCCUGGGUCUCAUCACUCUUAUGGUACCUCUGGAGUCCUGAGCACGGUAGCAUAGGAGUCAUGAUUGGAUUCUGACUUCCUGAUUACCUCAGUGGUAAAGAAAAUUGCCAUCUCAGAUGGGUCAUGUGGGAAGUAGUGUUUCUCUUGUAGGUCAUAUUCUACAGUCUGGAUGGCUUCAAGGGAUGGGAGUAACACUCACAAGCACUGGUUGCUGUUUGAAAGAUGAAUUUCUUCAAGUGCUCUUCAACUGAGUCAUGUUGAGUUACCUCUCCAGCUGGCCCUUUGUGGGUAAUCAGAAAGAAAGAUCAGCAACUUGAAAUAUACACAUAUACAAGGAAAGGAUCACAGUAUGGUUUCCAGUGGAAUUCACAUGUGGUGAUUUUCCUCACUUGAUGCAUCAAAGAAGAGAGGUCAUAUUGAUGUGAGGCACAGAGACAGCUCUGAAAUCUGCUAAAGAACCAC